rnacentral:tRNA from 4 species
UUGGGAUAGCUCAGUUGGUAGAGCAGAGGACUGAAAAUCCUCGUGU